rnacentral:rRNA from 1 species
GACAGAGGCCUCAAGCGUUAGGCGGAAUCACUGGGCUUAAAGCGUGUGUAGGCGGCCCGUUAAGUGCCUCGUGAAAUCCCCCGGCUCAACCGUGGAACUGCUGGGUAUACUGGUUGUCUUGAGCCAGCUAGGGGCGAGCGGAACAGACGGUGGAGCGGUGAAAUGCGUAGAUAUCGUCUGGAACGCCGAAGGUGAAAACAGCUCGCUGGGGCUGCGCUGACGCUGAGACACGAAAGCCAGGGGAGCGAACGGG